UACAGAGGUCUCAAGCGUUGUUCGGAUUCAUUGGGCGUAAAGAGCUCGUAGGCGGUCUGUUGCGUCCGUUGUGAAAGCCCUGGGCUCAACCUGGGAAUGGCAGUGGAUACUGGAAGGCUGGAGUACGGUAGAGGAGGGUGGAAUUCCCGAUGUAGCGGUGAAAUGCGUAGAGAUCGGGAGGAACAUCAGUGGCGAAGGCGGCCCUCUGGACCAGUACUGACGCUGAGGCACGAAAGCGUGGGGAGCAAACAGG
rnacentral:rRNA from 1 species